AUUACAAACAGCAGAUAUCCUCACAAAGCCGUUGUCAAACAAUCAACACGUUGCUUUAAAGAAUCAACUUCAAGUGCUUCAUAAAAAGGAUAAUUUGCCAUAGCCCACACCCUUAGUUUCAGGGGGGUGCAUUAAGAGUGUAGUUAUUAAAAUGUAAAUUAUCCAUAUUACCCCUAGGUAAAAAUACUUUGCAUUAGUGUAUUUUGUAACUUUUCCUCUCAUUCUAAUAAAAUCAGAAAAGUGCACAUGGGGUUUCUCUCUCCCCUAACCGUUUUCCUCCAUUGAAACUCUUAAGCUUUUCUUCUCUUCUUCUCCGUUUUACACUUUAACUCUAUGAGUUUCGGAUGUUCAAACUUCAGUGCAUUCAAAUCAGACACUGUUGUCCUUCAAACUACUAAGGAGAUUGUGGACAUACUGAAAUGUUCCUUAGUCUCAGAGACACCUCUAACUGAUUAUUUCUUAGGAAAAAGAAGGUCCAUGAGAAAGCACCAUUAAGGAUUUCAUUGCUUUUUAAUAUUAGUUAUACCGAAGCUAAUGUUAGAGGUGAGUUGAUGAAACUAAAGGUAGUAAUAAGGAAAUCAAAGAAGAAGGUAUUGUUUGUUGUAGCUGAGGAAGAUUUUGUUGACAUUCUAUUCAGUUUUUUGACAUUCCCGUUGGGAGGUGUUGAGCAUAUGUUGAAAGGUAAAUCAUUCAUGCAUGGGAAGUAUUGAUAAUUUGUACAAAAGUUCGUAGGGAAAUGUUUGAAUUCUCCUUCUCUAAAAACAGAUAUUGCCCAUUGAUGAAGUUCGUAGGGAAUAUAUUUGGAUCCAUGUUUCUCCCUUAAGUUAUUUGGAUCCAUGUUCAUCAAAUUGUUGCUCCCUUAAGUUCGUAGGGAAUAUAUUUUCAUUGUAAAGAUAUUGUUGACUAAAUGUAGUUUUUAUGGCAUUGCAGUGUCUCAGUCUUCUUAAAGCUUCUCUUUUUUCAGCGUCGGCUCUAUCAGAUGCACUCCGUCAAUUCCUUUAUCCCAUUUAGGAGGAAAAAAAGAUUAUUAACUAAAUAUAAAAUGAAGUUAUUUACGUUUUGAUUUUCAUCAGUACUGUUUAAU
rnacentral:lncRNA from 1 species